rnacentral:rRNA from 1 species
CUACGGGGUGCUGAAGUGGGGAAUAUUUGACAAUGGGCGCAAGCCUGAUCCAGCAAUGCCGCGUGAGUGAAGACGGCCUUAGGGUUGUAAAACUCUUUCGCUAGGGAAGAUAAUGACUGUACCUAGUAAAGAAGUCCCGGCUAACUCCGUGCCAGCAGCCGCGGUAAUACGGAGGGGACUAGCGUUGUUCGGAAUUACUGGGCGUAAAGAGUUCGUAGGCGGACUGACAAGUUAGAAGUGAAAUCCCAGGGCUCAACCCUGGAACUGCCUUUAAAACUGUCAGUCUAGAGACCGGAAGAGGUUAGGGGAAUACCUAGUGUAGAGGUGAAAUUCGUAGAUAUUAGGUGGAACACCAGUGGCGAAGGCGCCUAACUGGUCCGGUACUGACGCUGAGGAACGAAAGCGUGGGGAGCAAACAGGAUUAGAUACCCUCGUAGUC